CAGAAAAGAGCCGUCCAAGCCUGCUGAUAGGACUAGCUAGGGAGUCCUAAUCCGAGGAACACGUCUGGAUGAUCAAAAUUCAUGUUUGCACCAACUUCGCAAUAGAAUUUUUGAUUGAAUACGAAGCAUAACAAAUGGCUGACUUGAGGAGACAUACAAUUUUGAAUCAAUCUAACCAAUCGCCAUUGCAGUCAGUUCCAUUUUCACCAGCUAUGACACCAAGGUCAACAUGGUCGCCAGCAGCAACUGUACCAGAUUGGUCAUCUAGUGAUAAACAUCACCAGUUGGUUCCCAGUACUCCCGUUGAGCAUUUGACGGACCUAAAUUCUAAAUUGGCCUCAAAAUCAAGACAAAAUCGAACCAUAAUGUCAUCUCCAACGACCGAGUUGAGCCACGAUCAAUUAAACCUUUUUGAUGGUGAUGAUGAUGAUAUUUUCCCGACAUAAUUAUCAUCUAAAAUGCUGUGUUUUUAAAAAGCAAGAAGUGAUAUUUUAAACAAGUUAAAUGAACAUUUUAAAAGUAAAGAAAUAAUCAUAACAUUAAUUGAGCUAGAAACAUCUUUGUAAUACUAAUAGUUAGUAAUUGUAAUAAUUUCAUAAUUAAUAUUUGAGAUAUGGA
rnacentral:misc_RNA from 1 species